UACGUAGGCAGCAAGCGUUGUUCGGAGUUACUGGGCGUAAAGAGUGCGUAGGCGGUCCUGUAAGUUUGGUGUGAAAUCUCCCGGCUCAACUGGGAGGGUGCGCCGAAGACUGCAGGGCUUGAGUAUGGGAGAGGUAAGCGGAAUUCCUGGUGUAGCGGUGAAAUGCGCAGAUAUCAGGAGGAACACCGGUGGCGAAGGCGGGUCUCUGGGCCGAUACUGACACUGAGAGACGAAAGCUAGGGGAGCGAAUGGG
rnacentral:rRNA from 1 species